AUUAGCGCUGAGGCGCAGCCGGCUCCCGCCCAGAGGCCCGGAAUAGGCGCCGAGUUAUAAAUAGUGCGCCCGCAGGUGUGGGGGGAGUCGGCGGGAGGGGGCAACCCUGGCAGCCACGGCCCCUUCAGGCCCCCAGACCCACUCAUUCAGGACCCCGCCCACACAGAGCCGUGCCUUUCUUCCGCCAGAAGCCCUCUCCCUCCACGCGCGGCAAGCAUCUAACUCUCCCGCAGCUGCCCCUGAGCGCACGUGGCCCAGCCAGUCCGGGCACCUGGCUGUCACUCAGAAUCGCUGUCCCCAGCCCCAGGUUUCAGGCCGGCCCCCUCGACUCCGCCCCCUCCCUGGCGGAACGCAAGGCGGGACCCACUUGAGAUGGGCGGGAGCCCAGGCCAAUGGGCGGACUGGGCGGUGGAGUGCAGGGGGUGGGGCGGAGCAGCGGCGGAGGGCUGGAUGGGGGUCGGGGGCGGAGCUCGAGUUAAGGUGGACUGGGAGAGA